UAAAGAAGCAUUAAGAAGUUUGAUACAAAACACGCUGCUGAUAAAUUACCGGAAUAAUUUCAAAUCAUUUUCAAGCUAUCCAACAGUACAAAGUGACGACAUACAAUCCACAAGAAGGAAUAUGUAAGAACAUGUAAUAGAAAAAAUAUGGUCUGAUGUGUACAGUCCUGUUCUUACAAAAGCUCCUCAAAUAAAGCCCUGCAGUAAUAACAUGUUCUAAAGAAAGAUGGUGGGGGUAGGUGCUCAUAUCUGAAGAACGGGACCUCGUCCUCUGCUGCUGUGAAUACACAGCAGGCCGUGCAUGCGCGUCUCUCUCCACGCACUGCUAGGACACUUUCAAAAAUAGCAGCGAGCACUGACUCCACUAUUUUGGGAAGUCUUGUGGCACUUAAUGGAGAGAGCCGAGCAUGCAUGACCUGCUCUCCUACGCAGCAGCAAAAGACAGGAUUGCUGAGUCAUCUCACCAUUCCUCAGUGACAAAGUUAUGAGAACAUUAGUAAGAUUGACGUGCUGUGUCAUCAGACCAGACCAGCAGGACCUGUGCCAAGUGUAUCACAGCAGUGCACAUGCAAAGCAUAGUACAAUAUAUGCUUUUUGAAAGCUCAAAUGCCUGCAUGGAAAAAAA